rnacentral:rRNA from 1 species
UACCCGCAGCACAAGUGGUGGUCAUUAUUAUUGGGCCUAAGGCGUCCGUAGCUGGCUUGUUAGAUGCCUGGGUAAAUCGAUGCGCUCAACGUAUCGAACUCCGGGUAGACCGGCAAGCUUGGAACCGGGAGAGGCGUGAGCUACUCGGGGGGUAGGGGUAAAAUCCUGUAAUCCUCCGGGGAGGACCAGUGGCGAAGGCGUCACGCUAGAACGGCUCCGACAGUGAGGGACGAAGCCCUGGGGCGCAAACCGG